UGGGGUACCUCAGUUGGUACAGUGUGAGACUCUUAAUCUCUGGGUCAUGGGUUUGAUCCCUAUAUGGGGCAAAA